rnacentral:rRNA from 1 species
GGGCCCGCACAAGCGGUGGAGUAUGUGGUUUAAUUCGAUGCAACGCGAAGAACCUUACCUACCCUUGACAUCCUCGGAAUCUGCCGGAGACGGCGGAGUGCCUUCGGGAACCGAGUGACAGGUGCUGCAUGGCUGUCGUCAGCUCGUGUUGUGAAAUGUUGGGUUAAGUCCCGUAACGAGCGCAACCCCUGUCCCUAUUUGCCAGCGAUUCGGUCGGGAACUCUAGGGAGACUGCCGGUGACAAACCGGAGGAAGGUGGGGACGACGUCAAGUCAUCAUGGCCCUUACGGGUAGGGCUACACACGUGCUACAAUGGCAGGUACAAAGGGUUGCAAGACGGCGACGUGGAGCUAAUCCCAUAAAGCCUGCCUCAGUCCGGAUCGGAGUCUGCAACUCGACUCCGUGAAGUCGGAAUCGCUAGUAAUCGUGAAUC